UGCACGCUUCCUCGGAUCGGUGAUGACUGGGUGAGCCCAUUCUAUUUUUAUUAUAUCCUCUUUGCUUAUUGUUGAAGUGAGUAAAACAACAACCUGCCGUUCUGUUUUCGUGGUUAUCGACUGUUUUGCUGUGUACAGAGCCAUUGAGAAAUUUACACCACCACCACCACCCCCUCCCUAGAGUUUGAUGGUGAAGCGUGAGUGGCCGGUGCUUCCUCCGGAGGGGAGACGUGUUGAUGUGUGAUGAUAGGAGCGAGGGGUGGGGGAUUGGCUUGGGGGGUGGUGGAAAAGAUAUUAAACUAAAAGUGUCUUCGUGUUGACUUCCACCGAGUUGAUUGCAAUUCUUUAUCAUUAACCGCAACGGUGGACGUGCUCUGUCUACAGUCCUGCUAUUCCGAUGCAACAGCAAUUCUGCACAUAUUCACCGCUGACAGAGAGCGUGCACCGGGAGGAAAUACAUUUUACUAUCUAUAAUUACAAUUCCGACGACUGGCCGUAAUCUUUCAAACACUGGAAACACCAUUAAAAGGAUCAAUGCGAUACUUGCAAGCGGUCUAAUUGCAAUGCCAGUCACCCAACAUCUUGCAUCAGUUUUGGAGAGUGAAAUGUAAACGAUUCCGGCGAAUUUCAUUAAGAUCGAGCUAUCUAUAGAAAUUGAGCUGGCUGAUCGUCGUUUGCCAAGAGGCUACUUUUCAUAGCCGCGCGCGCGCGCGCGUGUGUGUAGGUGGGGGGAGGGGGGGGGCAGUCGUGCGCGUGGAGCCUAGAAUAAGUAACGUUACUUCUUUUUUUGGCUCGGAAUAGCAAAGAUUCCCUUUCCGCCGAUGCACGCGCUCGCGCACGCAUACAAAUAUUGCCCACCUUGCCGGCUUUCAAAUGCGUUAUGGCAACAAGUGCCAGUUCAUGCACGAUCAGUUCGUCCCGCAGAUUACAAAUGGACAUGUUGGCUCUUGUUUGCCUGCCUUUUUCUUUUUCUUUUUUCUUUCUUUCUUUUUUUUUUAGUUUUGAUCCUUGGUGUGUGGGGGGUUUUUUCAGCCUCGUUUUUAACCAACUCCACUUUCCAGUCUUUCCACAAAUUGAGCUCCGGUGCAGGGCGUUCACCACGCGGGGAAGAGCUGGUUUCAGCACCAGAUCACUUGUGCAUUUCAGGACCAUGGAGAGCGCUCUUCUUUCACCCAUCGUUUUUAGGCGCUGUGGGGUUUUUGUUGUUGUUUCUGUGAACACUGGACUAGUCAUUCUUUGCUGUAAAGGUCGGCUUGCCUCUGCAACUUUUGUUAAGAAGGAGAUCCUAAAGUGGCUGAGGGCCUGCGCAACCGACACUACGAAAAUGAGAUAAAUGGAGCCCAGUGAAGCCAUCAUCGUUGCAUUCAUUAAGUGCUGUGGACAUUCUCAUAGGGAACAAAGGAUCAAAACUGUCCUUUUUGGGUCUUUUUGCGGUCUGGGCUUGCUGUUCCUAAGGCAGUAGCCAGGAAGCCCUUACCCCAAAAAGUAUCUGCACUGGAUUCUGGCAUCUGAAGCAGAAAUCACCCUUUUUUCUUUCUGAUAAAGCGUUGCAUAUCUUCCCUGUGAGUUUUGGAAUGAGGACACUAUAUAUUUAUUGUAUUGAGUUGCUUUAAGAACCUAAGCAAGGUGUGGCUUUUGAUUGGUUCGAAACAGAAGAACUUACCUUUUUAAAUUGGAAGAAUUUGAGAAGCUUAAUGCAGGAUGUGGCACAACACAUGUCUGCAACCUGAGAAAAAUCAGAUCGGAAAGAAUCUUAUUACAGUAAGAAACAGCAAGAAAGAGACACCAGCUUUAUUCAUCAGUCUGGUAAAGCUCCACUUUCCAAAGUGAGCUUUAAUAUCAAAUUUCUUUCUAGGAAAAAUCUUAUAGUGUGCUAGUUUAGACACACCAGGCAGUGUAAUCCAGGUAGCAACUUGUCUUACUUUCUCAGAUUUGACAAAAAACCCCAAAAAUUCCCACUUAGAUCUGUCAUGUCUCAUUAAUGUGGAACACUUUUACUUAUUCUUUGUCAUACAAUACAAAUAAUGCUUUAUUUCAUUUACAUAUGUCGGCACUUAUAGGAUGUUACUAGAAAAAUCUUACAACAGAUGCUUUCUUCAUACAUUCCUAUGUAGACUGUGUUGUACACAUUCAAUGAUUUUGUAUCAUCUCUGCUCAAUCAGUUGUUUAUGAAAGUGUAUAGAGAAAUACAGCAUGAUUGGGUAAGGCAUUUAUGACUGUCUGAUCCUUUGUACACUCUCAGUGUAUAAGUGCAUCUAUGCCUUCUUCAUAUUUUGAUGCUACCAUAUAGUGGUGCACUAUCAUAGAAGAAACUAAUAGGAUGGCAUUUUCUAAUUGGGAAAUACAUUUUAAAACGUAACCCCAGAAACUGCAUUAACAGAAUGUAAAUAGUGACUAAAUAAGCCAAGAGGAAAUGGUCGUGUAGCUCCAAGGCUUUGACGUUCUAAGUGUUACAUAAACAUGAUUAUUUAUCCUGCCAAUGCCACAAGCCUUCACAAUGUACUUUUUAUACAUCAAAACCCGAGGCACUUUCUGUGCACUUCACUGGCCAUGUGACUUCAUCGCUUGGGGAGCGUUUUUAUGCCUGCAUAUAGCACACGAGGGUGCAUGAGGCAUUCUGUACGGUAUCAUGAGCAAUUACAAUUAGGAGCACAUGUUAAGUGAUGUUAUGCUGAUGAGCUUGUCCCUUAUGGUUAUGGCAGUGAUCAACUUUUUGCACCCUUCUACUCCUUUCACACUUUUCUAUUUCUCUCUCUUUCUCUUCCCUUCAAAACCUCUGGAAGCUUCCUUGUAGUAACGCGAAUGUUCCCUGUUAAAUGUUGUGCCUUGUUAAAUAAAGCUGAAAUAAAAUUUU